AUAGACAAUGCUGGUGAUAUUGGUUCAGGUGAGCUUGAAAACCCCAUUUCGAAAACAGAGGAAUCGUCAUCUUCUUUAUCUGAUAUGCCACAAAUGAAAAAGUGGUCGGUUCGCGUAAGGCAAGGAAAGGCUUAUGUAUAUGUUGCUGGAAAGCCCCUAGCAAAGACAGGCGUCGAGUAUCAUCAGUGCUGCCGGCGUGAAAAGUGAGGAUAAUAGGCCUCUCAAGGGAAUAUAUUACCAGGCAUGAACGAGGCUGUUGAAGCAUUUGUUGUCUUCCAUGCUUCGGUAUCUGGGCGAAUUCUGCCAGAACACUUCAACUUCGCGUUUGGCAAGGUCCCAAACUUCUUUUGUGUCAAUUCGGCAAAACAGAGAAUUUGAGACAUGUUUGCGGCUGGUAGAAAUGUUCAGUCACUUGGGUGACUGGAUAUUAGAUGUUAGUUUACCCGAAGCUGGCGGUGUUGCAGCAGUCACGAUCGAGCGCAAUUGCCUCAAUCUGGUAAAAACAGAAGAGGAGGAACGAGAGGCUAGGCGAAAGUUGAAAGAACUUUAGAACCUAUAAAUCUAUAUAUAUAUAAUUUAUUAUACAUCUUCAUUGUGUGCUGGGUAUUCCCGGCUCUACGUGGGAAAACAUACCAUAAUGAAAAUUUAAUUAAGACAACUUACUUUUUAAAUUGUCUGAAUGUUCCUUUGCUAUUUACAAAAUAUACUUCUAAAUUGGUUUCACUUGACCAUUGCCCAUUCGACUUGCGUAGAGAAUAUAACCCGAAUAAUUGUAGAUACCGUGCACUGCGUUACUCGGACACCCCUAUAUGUC
rnacentral:lncRNA from 1 species